CCAGCACGUACGGCUUGGCUCUGCAAAGUGACACUGGGGAUGAAUAAAUCAUGGGCCCUCUCUUAGCAACCUGACGGCUUCAUCCAGCACCGCUGGUGGUGAAAGAGGGCGCGGGCUCUGCUUUAAGAGCAGGGAGAGCUCGCUGCUGGCUGAGCCGUCAGUGGGAGGUCGGGAGGCCAUGGAGGGGAACACGCACCUCCUCCAGGUCAUCCGUGAGAUGCACUCCCAGAUCGACAAGCUGGAGCGGGAGAACCGGGCGCUGAGAGAGGAGCUGCACGCCUGCGGGCUGAGUGCCGCUGUGGGGGGCAGCAGGAGGGAGAUGGGCAGCCUGCCCUGCCCCACAGAAGGAUCGGACGCAUCGCCCGCAGCCCCAAUGGAUCAGGCAGACACCACCAUGACGGUGCGGCGCUACUCCACCGCGGCAUCGGCACCCUCAAGGCCUCGCCAUGCCGGCAAGCAGCCCCCGAGCAGCGGGCAGCUGGAGGAGCGGGGCAGGGCCGAGCCGCACGCCUGUCCCACUGCAGAGCAGCACCCCAGCGAUGUGGGCAGAGGCCUUGGGAAGGGCCCAGCCAACUGCUUCUCCAGCAGCACUUCCAGCAAAAUGAGGCUGUUCCAGGAGCACGUCCGCAGGUGCAGGGGUAAAGUAAAGGCUGUUAGUUUCCUCUUACCAACGGAUGUGUCCUAUGCUGGAAAUCAAGGUUCUUUCAAAAGCCCCCCAAAUCAGGACACCAAACAGUUAAGUACCAUCACCGAAAGGGAUAUGUGAGCUGGUGAAUUUUUAAAGGCCCGUUGAUUCUCGAGAUAAAUUGGCCUUAAAUGAUAGCUAUGUGUCAGGUUCCUUACCUGCAAAACGCUUUGGCAGGCUGCCUUGGGAGGCUCACCCGGACGGUGUUUCGGGUCACUGCCCCGUUGUUCAGCAAGGAAAUGGAAGCCACGACAAAACAGGCUGGAAGCACACGUGCCGUGAUGGAGUCGCAUGAUAGCAAAGCUCCUCCACAAAGCAGCUUCUGCUCAAUGCAUCUCAAGGCUCCCUCAGAUCAGCACUGCUUUGAACAGGAUGUUAAAGCUGGUUUUGCUAUGUUUGUCACAAAAAGCAGAAACCAAGUCACCUCUCGCGUUUGCUGAUCCCUUGGCAGGUACUUGUUGCAAAUGAUGAAGUAAGAGCUGCUAAAGGACCUGGGAGACUCUUCUGUACUUGAAACUUCGUAUUUCACAAUACCAAUACAGCAAAGCCAAGGGGGUGUCACAGAACCAGUUGACAUCACUCUGAAUUUCUGCAAAGCUUAAUGGUGACUGCUGAUGUCUGCUUCAGGUCCAACCCUACAGGAGCACGGGGGAGAAUAAGUGCUAAUCAAUAUGAAGACGUGACUGCAAACGUGUGUCUGAGCUGGUGUCCAUCAGAGAUAGCUGCACACCAGGUCAGAGCAGGAAGGAUCUCAGAUGCUCUCAGGUCCGGUGUCUGAACACAGCUCAGACAAGAAUCAUUAGCGGACAUGCAGCAAACUGGUGCAAAACUAAUGGAAGGGAAAAAAUGGCUUGUAAAAAAAGAGUGUGAUUGGUAACUUGGGUCUGGCUGUGUGAGUAAGGAUCUGUCCCACGUGGUGUUUGCUUUGACCACCAGCACUAUUUUUUAACACGCAGGCCGUACUGAUGAGUGAAUACUGCACAAAUUGUCAGUCUUAUUGUCUGCCCUCACGCUCUGGGGUCUUCAAAAGUGAAAGCAGAGAGCUGGUAGACAAAGAAACCACCAAAUGACUUUCAGUGAUGCUGUGUGUGUGUGUAAAAAUAUCAGAUCCCCCUUUUUUUUUUUUAUUAUUUUGAAAUGGUUUUAUGUAUUCGUGAACGUUUUUAAUACAUUCCCAAUGAAAUUAUCUUUUCAGUUUUGCUGCUAUUUCAUUUGUGGAUUUUAUUUUCAGCUUGACUCCAUGUGGAGCUGUGUUGUAACGUUAGAAGUGUUUUUAAUCAAAGACUCCCAGCAAAUUGGGUUACGGUCAGGAAAGUUUGCUGAACAGCUCUUUUCUGAAAGCAUGCACAAGGAAAUGCUUUUAAAACGUUUUAAUGAAAGCUUAAUUGCAAGAAACUAGACGUGUGUGAAGUACCUCAAUCCAGCUGGUUUCACUUAACAGAAACAACAAGUGUCUUUGAAAACCUGGCCCCUAGGCUUCUAAAGGUACCCAAGUGCUUUUGAAAAUCCAUGCUUAAACACCAGAGCUAAUGGGGUUUGGGAAUCCCUGUGCUACAGCCAGCUUUCAAAAAAGCUCAACUUUUAAAUCCUCCCUGCCUCAACUUUCCCAAAGCAGCAAUGUGAAUUCUGUUCUCCCACCCUUCCUGUGUCA
ensembl:lncRNA